GGAUGUGAGGACAAUCUGACUGUCACAUUGGUCACACUGUCAUUGCCAGCACUGACUGGCUGAUCUGGCUAGCUUGGUGGUGUCCCCAGCCUCCCUCAGUGCUCCACAUGGCCCAGGGAUAUACAGGCAGCUGUGUUCUUUUACCAAAAACUUUGAAACGAGCUCUCAAACUCACAACCUCACACUUGCCAAGCAGGAAUUUUUGCUGCUGAUCAA
rnacentral:sRNA from 1 species